GUUGAGGAACAUCUAGAUUGUUUCCAGUUUCUGGCUAUUACAAAUAAAUCAACAUAGUUGAGCAAGUGGUUUGGUGAGCCAUCUUUUGGAUGUAUGCUAAGACAAUCUAUCACUUGAAACUCUGGGAGAAGAUGUGUUAUCUCAGCUCUAGUGAGACUGUCUUAUGGGAGAAGUUCUUCACAGUACAAGUUCAAAGAACCCGGUGGGAUGACUUAGAAGCAAUCCACCAGAGUCCUCUGGCCUCUAUGUUCAUCAUAAAUGGAAAGGUGGUGCAGGAACAGAAGAUUUCCGAAUGUCAGUGCUUCAACAGUGCACGGAUUUAUUUUUUUGUAUGUGUAAUAUCAGUUGCAGGUCCAAGUAGUUUUCCAAGAAACUGGACUAUAUUUCAGACUUAGGGAUAGAGAUUAAGGGGAAUUAUUCUAUCUGGUAUCUACCACCUGAAGCACAUGUACACAGGCCUCUACACAAGGGGUCAAGGGGUUGAUUUACUUUUUGCUGACUCUUCUUGGAUGUGACAUGUAUUCUUACUCAUAUUUCAUUGAUUUAUUGAUCUUAAGGUAUGGUGUAUUCAAAUGAUAAAGAGGUGUAUAAUAUGUUCAGAAUGAAUCGGGAUGAGAUGUUCAGAGAGACGGGAGCUUGAGGACACAAGAGACUUUGUGUUUUCUGUGAAUGAAAUAGAAAACCAUUGAUAGAUAGGCAUCAUGAUUUAUGUUGAUUUAUUAUGAUUUAUGUUGAAUGCUGAUCAAAGGACACAACAGUGUAAGCUGGGAAGCCAGCUCAGAGGUUAAAAAAAAAAAAAACAGGAAAGAGAUGAUGGUGUUCAGAACAAAUAAGGAACAAGGAAGAUAUUGUAUUUAUUAUUGUUGUUGUUUUUGUUAUUGUUAUUUUGUUUUAUUUAUCUGAGACACGUGUCCCUGGAAAUCCUGAAACUCACUCUAUAGGUGAGGCUGGCCUUAAACUCACAGAGAUCUGCUGCCUCUAUCACUGAGAUUAAAAGCAUGUACUACCACUAUUCAGGUUAAGAAAGAUGUUUUUGUAUACUUGAGCAUCUUUUGGAUAUAUGCCUAGGAGUGGUAUAGUUGGAUCUUGAGGUAGCACUAUUCCUAAAUGUCUGAGAAAGUGCCAGAUUGAUUUCAAAGGUGGUUGUACAAGUUUACAUUCCCACCAGCAAUGGAGGAGGGUUCCCCUUUCUCCACAUCCUCUCCAGCAUGUGUUGUCACUCGAGUUUUUGAUCUUCACCAUUCUGAUGGGUGUCAGAUGAAAUCUCAGGGUCGUUUUGAUUUGCACUUACUUUAUAGCUAUAGCUAAAGAUGUUGAGCAUUUCUUUAAGUGUUUCUCUGCCAUUCGUUAUUUCUCUAUUAAGAAUUUUCUGUUUAGCUCUGUAUCCCAUUUUAAAAUUGGAUUACUUGAUUUGUUGUUGUUUAACUUUUUGAGUUCUUUACAUAUUCUGGAUAUUAGCCCUCUGUCAGAUAUAGGGUUGAUGAAGAUCCAUUCCCAAUCUGUAGGUUGUCAUUUUAUUCCAGUCAUGUUCAUAGCAGCUUUAUUUGUAAUAGCCAGAAGCUGGAAACCACCCAGAUGUCCCUCAGUUGAGGAAUGGAUACAGAAACUGUGGUACAUACACACAAUGGAAUACUACUCAGCAAUUAAAAACAAGGAAAUCGUGAAAUUUGCAGGCAAGUGAUGGGAACUAGAAAAGAUCAUCCUCAGUGAGGUAUCCCAGAAACAGAAAGACACAUGGUAUAUACUCACUUCUAAGUGGAUAUUAGACAUCUAAUAGGAUAAACAUACUAAAAUCUAUACAUCUAAAGAAGCUAAGAAAGAAGGAGGACCCUGGGUAAGAUGAUCCAUCCUCAUUCAGAAAGGCAAACUGGACAUACAUCAGAAGAGGAAGAAAACAAGGAACGGGACAGGAACCUAUCACCGAGGGCCUCUGGAAGACUCUAUCCAGCAGAGUAUGAAAGCAGAUGCUGAGACUCAUAGCCAAACUUUGGGCACAGUGCAGGGAAUCUUAUGAAAGAAGGGGGAGAUAGAAGGAUGUGGAGGGCACAGGAGCUCCACAAGGAGAGCAGCAGAAACAGCUACA